rnacentral:rRNA from 1 species
UGAGGAAUUUUGCUCAAUGGGCGCAAGCCUGAAGCAGCGACGCCGCGUGAACGAUGAAGUUCUUCGGAAUGUAAAGUUCUUUUGGCAGGGAAAAUUAUGAUUGUACCUGCAGAAUAAGCACCGGCAAACUAUGUGCCAGCAGCCGCGGUAAUACAUAGGGUGCAAGCGUUGUCCGGAUUUACUGGGCGUAAAGAGCAUGUAGGUGGGAAUCUAAGUCAAACUUGAAAUACUGGGGCUUAACUCCAGUCCGGGUUUGAUACUGGAUUUCUAGAGAAUGGGAGAGGAAAGUAGAACUAACAGUGUAGCGGUGAAAUGCGUAGAUAUUGUUAGGAAUACCAGUGGCGAAGGCGGCUUUCUGGACCACUUCUGACACUGAGAUGCGAAAGCGUGGGGAUCAAACAGG